GCCCCUGGCACUCAUUGUGGCACAUACCAAAAUUGGAACCAUGCAGAGAAGAUUAGCAUGGCCCCUGAGCAAGGAUGACAUGUAAAUUCGUAAAGUGCUUUGUAUUUUC
ensembl:snRNA U6 U6 spliceosomal RNA